rnacentral:rRNA from 1 species
UACAGAGGGUGCGAGCGUUGUCCGGAAUCACUGGGCGUAAAGGGCGCGUAGGCGGCCUGAUAAGUAGGGGGUGAAAUCCUGUGGCUUAACUGCAGGGCUGCCUCCUAGACUGUUAGGCUCGAGCACGGUAGAGGCAGAUGGAAUUCCCGGUGUAGCGGUGGAAUGCGUAGAGAUCGGGAAGAACAUCGGUGGCGAAGGCGGUCUGCUGGGCCGUUGCUGACGCUGAGGCGCGACAGCGGUGGGGAGCAAACAGG